rnacentral:miRNA from 1 species
UUUGGACCAGGCUUCCUUCCUC